rnacentral:lncRNA from 1 species
UUGGAGAGUUGUCUCAUUUGCAAUCAUAUCACAUCUUCUUUUUUUAUAUGGAAUACUUUUGAAGUUUGUGGUACGUUGCAAGGAAAAAAGGGGGGAUAUAGGUACAAAACCUAUAAUGUAAUAGAUAUUAACCAGAGUAAAAUACACAACAACAGAUAAUACUAUGGAAGCAGUAAUAAUUGUGAGAAAAAAACCAAAAGCAA